rnacentral:tRNA from 1 species
UGAGAUGAAAUCAUUAAUGAUAUUUCAUUUACAAUGAAAAUUAGUUUUUUUAACCAUUUCAA